GUUUCGAAGAUGGAGUGCCUCUGAUCCUUACCACGCUUGAGGUUCUUGAUCAUUCUACAAGAUAGGAACAUAUAUUGCACAUUCGUUAUUAGAAGAUGGUGGUGAUUCAAUUGUGGAGGAUGACUCAAACAUAGGAUCGGAGGUUUCAACAUAGUAGUCCAACAAUGCGUGGAAUGUCAACGAUAUCGUGUGGUGUUUUAAGAUCUUGGCUUGGAGAUGGUUAGUCAUAGGAAAAAUUAGUCAAACCAAUUGUAACUUUUAUAAUUUUAGCAAAGACCCUAUGCUAUUUUUAUCGCAAGUCUCAAUUGGUGGAUAAUUUUUCUUCGGGGUGUUUUGUUUUCCCGCCCCUCUUUUGUAAGUUCGGUUGAGAACUUGGGUUCUCUUUCAUCAAUGAAAUCUUGCCUACAGAAAAAAAAUAGUAGUCCAAUUUUGCAAUGUACUCCAUAUCAUAGAGUCGUUCUCUUUAGUCAUUCAACAUAUUUCGGUGCAUGUCUGAAGGGAUGUAUAAAUAGUACAUGUAGCGAGGUUGAUCUUAUUGGUGAAAAGAUAUUUGUCUAUUACUGCCCUUGUUGGUGAUUGAAACAAAAUAGUGACGCGCAAGAAACCUUGUGAUUAUUGUAAGUUUG